AAGCGGGAAGAGCUCAAAUUUAUAAUCUGGCACCUUCGGUGUCCGAGUUGUAAUCUCUAGAAGUGUUUUCCGCGUUGGACCGCACACAAGUCUGUUGGAAUACAGCGGCAUAGUGGUGAGACCCCCGUAUAUGGUGCGGACGCCCAACGCUUUGUGAUACACUUUCGAAGAGUCGAGUUGUUUGGGAAUGCAGCUCAAAUUGGGUGGUAAAUUCCAUCUAAAGCUAAAUAUUGGCGAGAGACCGAUAGCGAACAAGUACCGUGAGGGAAAGAUGAAAAGCACUUUGGAAAGAGAGUUAACAGUACGUGAAAUUGUUGGAAGGGAAACGCUUGAAGUCAGACUUGCUUGCCGAGCAAUCGGUUUGCAGGCCAGCAUCAGUUUUCCGGGGUGGAUAAUGGUAGAGAGAAGGUAGCAGUUUCGGCUGUGUUAUAGCUCUCUGCUGGAUACACCUUGGGGGACUGAGGAACGCAGUGUGCCUUACGGCGGAUUUCUCGAGAUCUUCACACUUAGGAUGCUGGUGGAAUGGCUUUAAACGACCCGUCUUGAACCACG
rnacentral:rRNA from 1 species